CUUUUUUUUUUUUUUAAGUUGAGAAUUUGCAUUUGAUUUUUCUCUCCAGGGAUUUUUUUUUAAUUUAUAUACAAAAUUCUAUUUUCUGUUUGAUUUUUAUCUCAAAAGAAAAAAAAAUAUCAAAAGAUAAUAAUAAAAUAGAAUUUUAUGCUUUUCCUUAAUUAAUUAAUAAUAAGAGGAAUCUAAAUCUCUUUUUUUCCCGUUCUAUGUAAGUUGCCAACGUGUGCCUGGUGGACACUGGAUAGCGUGCAACCAGCCUUUUUGCUUUUGAAGAUGAGAUUUUUUUUUUUAAUUUUAUUAUUAAAAGGAAAACAAUAAAAUUCAAUUUUUAUAAGAAUAAAUAUUUUAUUUUAUCGAUAGGGGUUGAAUUAGGUUGGGUUGAUAUUGCUAC
rnacentral:misc_RNA from 1 species